rnacentral:lncRNA from 1 species
UCUGAAACUCUUCAUGAGUGUCAUCCUUGCAUUAAUCUUAAUUUUCUUGCUUUAAUUAUCUAUUUUUACACUAAUCUAUUGGUAGUUGUGGUGUUAAAAUAUAGCGUUGGAUGUACCUCGUUAUCAAUGGUAUUAUAUUAUUAAGGUUGUGUUUGGUAGCAGGUAAUCCAUCCAGAUUGCCAGCAAUUUAUAUUGGCCCAUCGGAUAACUAUGUUUGAUAUUCAUUUUUAAUGGCAAUUUAUCUCGCAUUGGUAAAUUAGAU